UAAAUAGCUCCCUUAGCUAUUCCUACUCUUCAUUCCCUCUUGUUCUCUCACCCUUCUUCCAAGACAAGUUAGAAGAAAAGAAAACUCCAUUUUAUUCAAGAAAUCCUAAGGAGGAGGAGCUGAGAUCCAAGAAGGCUAGGUUAGAGGGGGGAUCACAUUCUUGAAGUGUUUUGAAGAAGGAUUGCCGUCCGUGACCCUUGAGAGCGGUAGAAGCUAGAUCUUUUUUCUUAUUAUCUUUUGUAGGCUCUUGGACUUCUUUAUGUUUUGGAUCAUUAUGGUUGUAGCAUUAACCACUUCUCUCUAACUUUUGGAUGUAUGUUUAGCACUAGAUGUGGUUGAUGGGAUUCAUAGAACCCUAUUAUUUUUGAAGGGAUUGUAGAGGUAGCCUUGCGUCUAUGUGGUUGAUAUAGAUGCGGCGGUGACACCCACUUUUGAACCUUAGGUACUUAUAAUUCUUAAUGGUAAAUGCUAAGUAAUGAAAUCUUAGUUAAUCCCUUA